ACAGGGAUUGCCCUAGUAACGGCGAGUGAAGCGGCAACAGCUCAAAUUUGAAAUCUGGCGUCUUUGGCGUCCGAGUUGUAAUUUGCAGAGGGCGCUUUGGCAUUGGCAGCGGUCCAAGUUCCUUGGAACAGGACGUCACAGAGGGUGAGAAUCCCGUACGUGGUCGCUAGCCUUUACCGUGUAAAGCCCCUUCGACGAGUCGAGUUGUUUGGGAAUGCAGCUCUAAAUGGGAGGUAAAUUUCUUCUAAAGCUAAAUACUGGCCAGAGACCGAUAGCGCACAAGUAGAGUGAUCGAAAGAUGAAAAGCACUUUGGAAAGAGAGUUAAAAAGCACGUGAAAUUGUUGAAAGGGAAGCGCUUGCAGCCAGACUUGCCUGUAGUUGCUCAUCUGGGUUUUUACCCAGUGCACUCUUCUAUAGGCAGGCCAGCAUCAGUUUGGGCGGUUGGAUAAAGGUCUCUGUCAUGUACCUCUCUUCGGGGAGAACUUAUAGGGGAGACGACAUGCAACCAGCCUGGACUGAGGUCCGCGCAUCUGCUAGGAUGCUGGCGUAAUGGCUGUAAGCGGCCCGUCUUGAAACACGGACCAAGGAGUCUAACAUCUAUGCGAGUGUUUGGGUGUCAAGCCCGAGCGCGUAAUGAAAGUGAACGGAGGUGGGAACCUUUCGGGGUGCACCAUCGACCGAUCCUGAUGUCUUCGGAUGGAUUUGAGUAAGAGCAUAGCUGUUGGGACCCGAAAGAUGGUGAACUAUGCUUGAAUAGGGUGAAGCCAGAGGAAACUCUGGUGGAGGCUCGCAGCGGUUCUGACGUGCAAAUCGAUCGUCAAAUUUGGGCAUAGGGGCGAAAGACUAAUCGAACUAUCUAGUAGCUGGUUCCUGCCGAAGUUUCCCUCAGGAUAGCAGUAACGUUUUCAGUUUUAUGAGGUAAAGCGAAUGAUUAGAGGCCUGGGGGUUGAAACAACCUU
rnacentral:rRNA from 2 species